CUGGAGUCCAAGACCACCCCCAGAAACAUCAUACAUACAUCACAGAAGGGGUGUAGCUCAAGACCACCACCCCAGAUACAUCACACCUACAUCACAGAAAGGGCGGUCUACAACAGAAAUCUGAGUGCGUUGUUUACCUCCUGUCUGGCAGGUUACCUGUUAAUGCUUACUUGAUUGGAUACCCUGGGGAGCCUGGCCAGUCUUUUGUAAUGACAAAUACUUAGUUCCUGAGCCAGGUCACAGGCUCACCCUAUUCAUACACAGACAUACCAUUAGGACAGGAUUUGUGAACAAAAAGACAAUGGGGAGGCUGCCCCACUUCCUCCCUCCUUGCAGAGAAAACAUUUGGUCAGUUUGGGAAUGAAAAUGGUUACAGGGCGGUCCUCCUGUGCUGCUCCAGACGUGUGGUCCACACAUCUAUGUAUGCGCUUGGUUGGUACAUUUAUGAACAUUUAUUAUAUAUGUGUAUAUAUGACCUUAAUUUUUUUUAUUUCACUGCCAUUCACUUUUCCAGGGAAAUGUAAAGCACGGCACACUCUCCACCCUAGACAAUGGAUGAGAUCGUAAGAGGAGGCUGCUGGAUCAGGCCAUUCGGCACCCAUCCGGUCCAGGAUCCUGUUCUCACAAUGACCAACCGGGUGCCCCAGUGGGAAACCGGCAAGCAGGAUGCGAGCGCAAGAGCAGAACUCUCUCUUGCUGCAGUUUCCAGCAAC